GAAUUUAUUUCUACGCAAAGUUGCAUUUUUAAUUACAUUUCCAGUCAAAGGCCACGAAUAAAAAGUGCGGAGGGUUAAGCUGCGUGGUCCGAGCUGGACGCGUGUUGUUUCCUCACUCCCAGCUUAGAGAUCGAGUGGGAGAGACAAAGAAGGAGGUGGAGAGUGAAAGAAAUAAAGACCCGAGAGCAUAAGAGCGUCAAAUAAAAGCAAUGAAUAGGCUCAUUUGAAGAAACAUCCCACAUCCCCCCCCACCCCCCCGUAGAGAUUUCCUUCAUUAUUUCACCUCCAGCUCGGAGUACACCUCUUACCAGACAUCAUUUCUGACAAUAAACCAAGUCAUAACGCGCCGCCUCACCGCGUCGUUUCCAUUUAAGAGAGGCGGAAUGUGACGCAGGGAGGUGGCAACGUUCACCAUGCAGAGAUCUCAUUAGCUCACUAAUGGAUUCUGUUAGUGGGGUAUCUGUCAGGAAUCAUGCAUUUAUAAUGGAGGUCACUUAUUAGGAGGGAUGUAUUGAUGGCAAAAUAAAAUCAAAAACAGCCUUUAGAUUUGACUGUAACGUCACCGAAGCAUCAUUUGCACUGCGGAGGACGACUUUGUGUUUAAAAAAAUGCUGAAUUUUUUUGCAGAGAUAUUUUCCACACAUCAGAAAAGUAGGUGAGAAAAGCUGUUUAUUGAAAUGUUAGCAUUCGGUUAAUCCAGAAGUUAAACUGUCUCGCUUUAUGCAGACGUUCGUUUCUCGUCAUUUGGAUCUUUUGCUUUUAGGAGAACGGAUGAUACCUUGACGAAGGUGAAACUCUUCAUUCAUUUACGAGUGAGAUCGAUUAUGCUGAAUAAGUGCUCUCCUUUCUUUUUUUGGGGGGGGGAAGGGGGAUUAAUCCACCCGCCGCUGAGAUUUUUCAAUGUAAAAUGGCAAAUGUUUUUUGUGUAGAGUAGAGUAUAACAAACUGUGACCAGUGUAGCCUUAUUACUAUACUGUAAAUGGCCCCGCAGCCUGCUAUUAGAGAUGGUGAUUUCAAUGUUACAUGUGUGUUCUAGUCCAACAGGAAAGUUUUGCUACCGUCAGUGUUGGUAUUUUUGAAGCUGUCGUCCCCUGUUUUUCUUGCUGGAGUUUCGCAGUGAGGGGAUAAAAGAUUUGAAGUGUUUGUCCACAUGAAGGUGAUGUGUUAUUAGGGGUUUAUUUUUAACAUGUUUAUUUUAUUAUCAUUAUUGUGAAUGUUUAGUUUUUUUUACUUUUACCGUGGGCUCUGUGUUGCCUCUGCUGUUUCCGCUGAAGCUUGCAAAAAUGUAUUUCUGACUGACGCUUCGAGCUACCUCCCGAGGGCUGCUGUUGGUUUUCGAAAAAAAGAAGACCGAGAGGGGCCACAGCCCGCUCGACCUCCUGGAACAUGUGGUCCUUGUCCUCUCGGCCUCCGCGAUGACGGAGCCCGGACCUGUGAGCAAAAGCUCGGAGAAGGAGUUUGGAAAAAUCUGGCAAAACAUCCGCAGACAUGGACGAUCGCAACCUUGACAAAAGUUACAGCCGGUCACGCACACGUCCGUCCGACCUGAGGCCGCGACCCCCGGGCCUGUCACUCUCCCUGAUAACAGCUGAUUGGUUGCCGUGCAGUCCGACCCCCUGACAUGAGUACACGCUGGGGACUGUGGGUAAUUGUGUUUUUUUUAAUCAUUUGAGAGGGGGGGGAGAGAGAGACAGGAUCUGACACUUUAUCAGUUAAAUGAUGCUGAACCAUGUUAACUCAUCCGUCCGUGAAAACAAGGAGACCUUUGCAGCCCCUCUACUCAUUUGUGUUAAAAAAAGAAAAACAUAAUAUACGGUCUCCUGUGUUAUAUCAGCAUAAUUGUCUCUGAGCCUCCGUCCUGGCGCUGGUGCAAUCGUUCAUGGUGAUGCUGUAAAAAAAAAAAAAAAAAUACAAAUAAACGUAGUGGUUCAUUUCCUGUGUUCUACUAUGACGUGGAAACGACAGAUCAUGAUAAAAUGGGAUUUAUUUUUUCUGUGUUUGUCACUUUAGCUCUCAGCCUCUGGAAAAUGUAUUCUUAAUUGUUUUGUUUUUUUGUUUGUUGUGUCUCCGAUCACCUCAGCUGCCAUCUUGAAUGUUGAGUAACUUUGAUCAUGUGCUGUUGUCACUUGCAGAGCAGUGAAAGAAAAGUAUUCUUUGUCCUCGCAAUCCUGAGUAUGUCCACAUUCCUACUGUUCAUGACAUCUGUACAAUUUGUAUAUUAUAAAAAAUGAUUUAUAUUUAAUGUG